GUGGGGAAUAUUGGACAAUGGGCGAAAGCCUGAUCCAGCCAUGCCGCGUGUGUGAAGAAGGUCUUCGGAUUGUAAAGCACUUUAAGUUGGGAGGAAGGGUAGUAACCUAAUACGUUGCUACUUUGACGUUACCGACAGAAUAAGCACCGGCUAACUUCGUGCCAGCAGCCGCGGUAAUACGAAGGGUGCAAGCGUUAAUCGGAAUUACUGGGCGUAAAGCGCGCGUAGGUGGUUCAGUAAGUUGGAAGUGAAAUCCCCGGGCUCAACCUGGGAACGGCUAUCACAACUGCUGAGCUAGAGUACGGUAGAGGGUGGUGGAAUUUCCUGUGUAGCGGUGAAAUGCGUAGAUAUAGGAAGGAACACCAGUGGCGAAGGCGACCACCUGGACUGAUACUGACACUGAGGUGCGAAAGCGUGGGGAGCAAACAGGAUUAGAUACCCGAGUAGUCC
rnacentral:rRNA from 1 species